rnacentral:rRNA from 1 species
UACGGGGGGGGGCAAGCGUUGUUCGGAAUUACUGGGCGUAAAGGGCUCGUAGGCGGCCAACUAAGUCAGACGUGAAAUCCCUCGGCUUAACCGGGGAACUGCGUCUGAUACUGGAUGGCUUGAGUUUGGGAGAGGGACGCGGAAUUCCAGGUGUAGCGGUGAAAUGCGUAGAUAUCUGGAGGAACACCGGUGGCGAAGGCGGCGUCCUGGACCAACACUGACACUGAUGAGCGAAAGCCAGGGGAGCAAACGGG